CAGUUCGGAUUGUAGUCUGNAACCCGACUACAUGAAGCUGGAAUCGCUAGUAAUCGCGGAUCAGAAUGCCGCGGUGAAUACGUUCCCGGGUCUUGUACACACCGCCCGUCACACCAUGGGAGUCGGAAAUGCCCGAAGUCUGUGACCUAACCGUAAGGAAGGAGCAGCCGAAGGCAGGUCGGAUGACUGGGGUGAAGUCGUAACAAGGUACC
rnacentral:rRNA from 1 species